UGUCGCAUAACGUUUCGUCCAUAAGCGUGCUAUGCGGUCGUGCUCCUCUCUAUUCUGCAGAUAUUGUGUCGCUAUGCUACCAACCAGAGGAUCCGCUGCAAAACCACAAAAUUAAGGUUGGCAACUAAAAAGAUUGUCUCACCAGGAUUACAGUCUGUAAGAAGAGAACAAAUGGACAGCAGAACUUUUGAAAUAGUCAAUGCUGGUGACCAAUUGUCCUUAAGAAUAUCUAAACAUAUAACUCCUUGGCUGUUUAUGUUGCAGUGGUAAAUACGUGUUCGAAAGGUUACCUGAAAUGAAAUAAUCAGUUUUGUAAGUCAUUGUUGUAUAAAAACUUUAUCCAGAAGUAUAGUUAAUUGACAGAGUCAUCAAGUACCUUUGGAGGUUUGAAAGGGUAUUCUGGAGAAAAAUGUAUGUCCAAAAAGAAAACACCACCUUCGUAUACUGAUCCUGGAGGUCCCAGAAUUGUAGAAACCCAUUCAUACAGAUUAUCACCCUUAGGCCCAGCACUAAAAGAAUAAUAUUAAUAAAAUAAUGUGCAUUACAUGAAAAA